CCGACACUCUGUCCACUGAGCCAAACCUGUUUUGGCCUCACUUCUGUUUUAAAUGUAAGCUGCCAGACCCAUGGGUCCCCAGUCGUGGAGGCCUCUGCGUGGCUUCAGGCCUGGAGCAGCUGCCCACCUGUGGGAUGGGAAAGGACAGGCUUGGAGACAGAAGCUGUUUCUGGAAGGUGCAUGCUGCUCUUUGACAUGCGCAUUCUGACCUGGCCAUCCCCCUUAGGGCCUGAGCCAGAGACAUUAAACUGUAAAUAACUCUUGUUCUGUAAGACCCCAGUGUGAGAGAGGUGUUGACUUUAAUAGUGCGCAAGAAAAUCUUUGGCUCAACAAAAAGGAAACUGUAGUGGCGCGAAUGUUGCUAACCAGUGGUGUGUAUAGUUGUCUUUAUCAAGUUACAUCACUUACCCUAUCUUUUUGCUCAUUCCCUUAUAUUUAUUUUGCAGUCUGGAAAGUUUUAAAGAUGUUACUAAAUUAUAUUUUCAAGAUGAGACGUUUUGUCAUGUCAAUUUAAGAAGACUUAAUUCAUUAAAUCAUACUUGAAGCUUAAUAUUUUUCAUUUAUAUGUUAAAGAGCAAACGUGAAAAAAUUCUUUGCAUUUCCUUUCGAAAUGAAUGUUCACCAGAAGACUGAGGGCAGAGUUUUGAUUAGUUUCUACCAUAUGUAGUACUUAACUCUGUGAACCCAUAUUAUUUUCUCUGCCUUUUUACUUUCUUGGGAACUGAUCACAGAGUCAUUUAGAUGACAUCAGAACCCAUGUUGGUAAACUACAUAUAAUUCCAAAGAAUCCUUUAAACAUCAGAUGUAAGUGAUGAUAUGGUUUGUUUCUGGUACAUAUAUAACCUUCAAUUUUGUUGAAUUGAAACUUUUGUAUGUCUUUCUCUCAUUUAGCUAAGUUGACUUCUGAAUUUAACUGGGCCAGAGGUCGGCAUCACAAAUGUGCCCUGCUAGAAGCAAAAUAGCUUACUAGUGGGAACCUUGCAUUUAGUUCCAACUCUGCCACUUGUGAGUUGUGUGCCUUUGGGAAAAUAGUCAGUCUCCCAAAGCUUCAGUUUCUUCACGUACAUAUAAAAUGGAGGUAAUUAAUAGCCUAUAUUUCAGAGGGCUAUCGUGAGCUCUUAAUACUGUUUCAGACUCUUACUAAGACUAAGUACUUUAAAAAUGUCAGAGUGUGGUGAAAGGCCAUAACAUUUUUCUACUUACGAGAACUGCCUCCUGGGAUCAUGUUAACAGUACACACAGCCUCUGAGCACACCCCAGAGUGCUGAGAGGCAAGACAUCCUGCAGUCUGGGUCAUGCUGAGUAACCUUGAGUGCCAAGGACUUGAGAUAUGAAGGGAUUACAAGGGGCGUCUAGACCAAAAAAAAUUCUCUUGGCUAUGGCUACUACCCACAAACAAUCUGAUGAAUUCUCAGCAAGGAUAAAAUUCAGCCCUCUUUCCUCGUCGUUUCUCUGUCUCCUCUCUGGGCUGAGUUCUCUUGUGAGGUUGAAGAGGAGAACCUGAUUCUGUUUUUUAAUCUGCUCAACAUAUUGACUGCUUUAAAUUACUUUGCUCAAUAUUAGAAGUAUUGGGGAAAGGUGAGUGGGAGCUGGUUAGCUGGAAAUGACUUAGGUGAAUUGUAGUCCUUUGCUAAUACUCAUAUUACUUGCUAUAGGGACAGUUAGUUAAUCCAGGUGCAUACACUAAGUAGGAAGCACACUGAAUUUCAAAGAUUAACACUUGCAUCUCGGAAAUCAUACUUUAUCACUUCCAUAUCCUAUUGGUCAUAUUGCAUUAGUCACAGAACAUGUCUGCUGUGUCUGUUGACACAUUGUGGGAGGUGUCUACACAGAAGUGUGACUAUCAGGAGAGGAUGUUCAAGGGGUGGGGUGGGUGGGGAAGAGAAGAUGGCACCACAGAAGCUGGCUACCACGAUGUGUAGAGUCGGAAACCAUUUCUGUGAAUAGUCCAUCUGAACUAGUCUCAGCAUUUGUGCUGUAAAUUUGGUUACUUUCUCCCUAUUAUGUCAACAUUGACUUGUCACUGGAUCUCCUUCUGUGGAAUGAUCCUUUAGGAUCCCUACAUAGAACUGGUGUAUGUAGAGGCGGGGAGUUAUAUCUUGGGUUUUGUAGGAUUAGUGUAUUGUAAUGUGACAAUUAUAGUCAGUAUUACAGAUGUGCUAAUUACAUAUCAUCCUUCCUGCCAUGACUAGCCUUGGCUUUAUUUUAAAUUUAAUUUGCCCAACCGAACACACCACAGUGUAGCAGACUAUAUUACCUGUUUCAACUUUAGGUGCUGUAAUAAGACUUUGAAAUUAUAUUAAUUGAGCAGAGAACACAGGUAUGAAAUGGAAAAGGGCCUUGGAAAUAGGAGAAAUGCUAGCUCAUUACUUAUUAUUUACUCUUUACAAACAAAGAGUGUAAAUGCCCUUGUAGUUGACUAUAAAAUUUCCUCUUUUUUCUCUGGUGUUGAAUUUACAUUUUGAAAAAAUGUUAAGAUCAUAACUACUCCUUGCCAACUUCAUGAGAAGAAUGGGUCUUUCCGUGUAGGUGUUGUGCCAGAAAGGGUCAGGAAGGACUCGGUGAUAGUGGUGGGAUGGUUUGCUCCAAGCACAGAAGGGAAUUGUGAUGGUUCAGGAAGACUGGAAAAUAAGGAGGCAGGAGAAAAAUGAGUAGGGCUCCAGAGGAAUGGCACAUUGAAAUAAAAGGAAGUGGCGAAAUGGGAAAACAACUAGAAUGAAAGGAACAGACACAGUGGGCAGGGACGAUAAGAUGGACUGUAGAAUAAAGAUAAUUUGGG